rnacentral:rRNA from 1 species
UAGUCAUAUGGUUGUCUCAAAGAUUAAGCCAUGCAUGUCUAAGUAUAAGCAAUUUAUACAGUGAAACUGCGAAUGGCUCAUUAAAUCAGUUAUCGUUUAUUUGAUAGUUCCUUUACUACAUGGUAUAACUGUGGUAAUUCUAGAGCUAAUACAUGCUUAAAAUCUCGACCCUUUGGAAGAGAUGUAUUUAUUAGAUAAAAAAUCAAUGUCUUCGGACCCUUUGAUGAUUCAUAAUAACUUUUCGAAUCGCAUGGCCUUGUGCUGGCGAUGGUUCAUUCAAAUUUCUGCCCUAUCAACUUUCGAUGGUAGGAUAGUGGCCUACCAUGGUUUCAACGGGUAACGGGGAAUAAGGGUUCGAUUCCGGAGAGGGAGCCUGAGAAACGGCUACCACAUCCAAGGAAGGCAGCAGGCGCGCAAAUUACCCAAUCCUAAUUCAGGGAGGUAGUGACAAUAAAUAACGAUACAGGGCCCAUUCGGGUCUUGUAAUUGGAAUGAGUACAAUGUAAAUACCUUAACGAGGAACAAUUGGAGGGCAAGUCUGGUGCCAGCAGCCGCGGUAAUUCCAGCUCCAAUAGCGUAUAUUAAAGUUGUUGCAGUUAAAAAGCUCGUAGUUGAACUUUGGGCCCGGUUGGCCGGUCCGAUUUUUUCGUGUACUGGAUUUCCAACGGGGCCUUUCCUUCUGGCUAACCUUGAGUCCUUGUGGCUCUUGGCGAACCAGGACUUUUACUUUGAAAAAAUUAGAGUGUUCAAAGCAGGCGUAUUGCUCGAAUAUAUUAGCAUGUAAUAUAGACUAGGACGUUUUGCUUCUAUUUUUGUUGAUUUCUAGGAACCAUCGUA